UACAGAGGUCCCAAGCGUUGUUCGGAUUCAUUGGGCGUAAAGGGUGCGUAGGCGGCGCGGUAAGUCCGCUGUGAAAGUCGGGGGCUCAACCCUCGAAAGCCGGUGGAUACUGUCGGGCUCGAGUGCGGAAGAGGCGAGUGGAAUUCCUGGUGUAGCGGUGAAAUGCGCAGAUAUCAGGAGGAACACCAAUUGCGAAGGCAGCUCGCUGGGACGUUACUGACGCUGAGACGCGAAAGCGUGGGGAGCAAACAGG
rnacentral:rRNA from 1 species